UAGUUCGUAGCAUCCUAACUAAAGUAUUCUUACGCCUUCCACAAACACACCUUCAUAACUCAUUUCUUUCAAAUAAAAAAAGAAAACUCCAGCACUCCAUUCACUUUCUAAUUUUCACACUCCAAUUGGACAACUAGCCUUACAGUUGUAUUUGAUAUGUUUUCUAAAUGGGUAACAAUCAAAAAUAAAUAAUCACAUAGUACUCCUUAGCCCUAAGGAUCAUUACUUUUUUUACUAACAUACCUACAAUUAAUUAAUUUUUUUCAUUUCGUUAGACUAAUGCAGUAGUGUAACCCCCAAGUUACAAUAACAGGCAGCUUUUUAAAUCUUAUACUUUGCCUUUAUAUUUUCUUCUUAAAGGAAGUACGUUCCAAACAAAGAGACUUGCAAUAGUCAAUAAACCGUUACAUUAUAAGGCAUCCUUUCGGAGCUCAUGGAUCGGGAUAAUAGCCUAUCUCUCACAAGAAAACACUGAAUAAGACGGCGAGUUUCCUUCCUACCUAAGCAACGCAUCAGAAAGAUUCAGUCGCCACAAUCCAUAAACCAAUUGAACCUAAACGCCAUACGUCAUGUCUGGCAACGGUGACAAUAAUCAUGUUCAAAAGUCACCCGAGCGCAAAACAGUUAUCUAGUUUUUAUAACAACACAAAAAAUGUUAGUGUACUUGGCAGCACCAAGCUUGAAAAUGACGCAGUCAUUUAUCAAAACAUUAGUGCAACGUUAAGCUUAUUGCAUUAGAAAACAAAAUCGCUAAACAAGACUAAACGCGUCAUUUAGGUUUUCAAGAUGAGUGUUCAGUUUCUAACUUGACCAAAUAGAUCAAAAAAAUAUUGAUGAGGUAUCUUGACGUUUCAAUAAAAUAAAUCAAUUGUUUCAUGUUCAUGUUUUUGGGAUUACAACCGCACCAGCAGGAUAACAAGUCAUGUGGUACCCAGUUUCGACUCAUCCUAAUAGCUCCUUGACCCUAUUAAAAACGACACCAUUUUUUUAAAAAUGGUGUUUUUAAAAGAAGAAAAGGGUUUCGAAAAUCAAAAAGAAAAAAUAUGUUCUAUCAAGUGUACUCCCAGUUGUAGGCGGAUAAGAAGAAUUACGUGCUAAUUUAUUUCAAUUUUCUUUUAGUGUCUUACAAAUACUCAACACUCUAUAAGCUGUAUGAAACAAAACAUUUUGCUUCAGAAGAUAAUUUAAAGCUAACGACAGAAUUAAUCGACGCUAAUGAAAGCAACUACACGGUGUGGCGUAUCCGUCGUCAAUGCUUAUUAUCUUGGAUGCAUUCAUUAGAAACAAAAGAAAAAAAUAAUUUUCUUUUAAAAGAAUUAGACUUUAUCAUCUAUUAUUGCAAUCAAAGUGCUAAAUGUUAUCAAGUAUGGUAUCAUCGGCGUUGGAUCAUGCAACAAAUGAAUGAUGUACAACUUCUUUAGAAAAAAAAAGAAUUGAGUUUAAUUUAGAAGAAGAUCAAAAAAAUUUUAAUUUAUGGCAGUACCGAACAUUUUUACAAGACUUUAUUUAUUCAAACAAAUCAUGUAAUUCAGCCUCUUGUGAUAACUUAUUUUUUACCAAUCCAUUGAAAAUGUUAAAAAAACGUUGCAACUGCUGGUUAAAAGAAGAAAAAAAAUUUUCUGAAUUUAUGAUUGCCUUAGAUCAUCGAAAUAAUUCAGCAUGGAAUUUAAGAGUUGUGGCUGUCAAAAAUCAUGCUAAAGCUUUAUUACAAAUGAAUUUGUUCGACAAGGCAACAAAUGAAUUACGCGAUGACAUUUUAUAUUGCAUACAAUGUAUAAAAAGAACACCUCAUAAUGAACCGAGCUGGAAUGCAUUGUGCAGUUAUUUCUUUAAAGAAGAUCAAUUGCUUCUCGCUACAACGACUACAUGUUCUUGUCAAAACAUAUCUACAUGCAUUCUCUGUGAUCGUGCCCGUUUCAAGUGGACUGAUUCAAAAAUUCAAACUAUGAUCACUUCUUUAAUCGACCAAGUACUAAAGCAAGAUAGUACUAAUCGUUUUUGUCUCUAUGUACAUUAUUUAUACUGUCUUUCACUUGAUGAUUAUUCCAAAUGUUAUCAAAUUUUAGAUAAACUAUCGACAGUUGACCAACAACGUGUCACAUUUUGGAAUAUUAAAAAAACCAUGUUUUCCAAAUAUGUUUUGAGUGAGGAGUCCGACAAAGUUUUUCUUUAAGUAUUUUUUUAAUCCACAUUUCGUAUUAUAAAAAAAAACUUUUCAUUUUUCUUUUUACAAAAACAAUCACACGUUUGUAAAAGGAUAUUUUUUAAAAAACAUGUCUCCACGCUUCUGUUUUUCUUCAUGGCAUGAAAAGAAUCAUUCUGUACGCAAUGUAUAAAUUGACGUAAUUUAUUAACUAGUGUGUUGU